rnacentral:rRNA from 1 species
GACGAACGCUGGCGGCGUGCUUAACACAUGCAAGUCGAACGGUGAAGCGCCUUCCUUUUUGGUGGGUGUGGAUGAGUGGCGAACGGGUGAGUAACACGUGAGUAACCUGCCCCCUUCUUCUGGAUAACCGCAUGAAAGUGUGGCUAAUACGGGAUAUUCUGGGUCUGUCGCAUGAUGGGUCUGGGAAAGAUAUUGUUUCGGUGGGGGAUGGGCUCGCGGCCUAUCAGCUUGUUGGUGGGGUGAUGGCCUACCAAGGCGGGGACGGGUAGCCGGCCUGAGAGGGUGGACGGUCACACUGGGACUGAGACACGGCACAGACUCCUACGGGAGGCAGCAGUGGGGAAUAUUGCACAAUGGGCGCAAGCCUGAUGCAGCGACGCCGCGUGAGGGAUGGAGGCCUUCGGGUUGUGAACCUCUUUCGCCAGUGAAGCAGGCCUGCCUCGUUUGUGGGUGGGUUGACGGUAGCUGGAUAAGAAGCGCCGGCUAACUACGUG